rnacentral:rRNA from 1 species
CCGUAGCUAAACGGCAUUUAAGUGCCCCCGCCUGGGGAGUACNGGCCGCAACGGCUAAAACUCAAAGGAAUUGACGGGGGCCCGGCACAAGCGGCGGAGCAUGCGGAUUAAUUCGAUGCCACGCGAAGAACCUUACCAAGGCUUGACAUGAACCGGGUAACGCCUGGAGACAGGUGCCCCGCUUGCGGUCGGUUUACAGGUGGUGCAUGGUGGUCGUCAGCUCUUGUCGUGAGAUGUUGGGUUAAGUCCCGCAACCGAGCGCAACCCUCGUUCUAUGUUGCCAGCACGUGAUGGUGGGGACUCAUAGGAGACUGCCGGGGUCAACUCGGAGGAAGGUGGGGACGACGUCAAAUCAUCAUGCCCAUUAUGUCUUGGGCUUCACGCAUGCUACAAUGGCCGGUACAAAGGGUUGCGAUACUGUGAGGUGGAGCUAAUCCCAAAAAGCCGGUCUCAGUUCGGAUUGGGGUCUGCAACUCGACCCCAUGAAGUAGGAGUCGCUAGUAAUCGCAGAUCAGCAACGCUGCGGU